AUUUGUGAAUUGUGAUGUCUAACAUGGAUCAGGAUGGUGGGUGCUUGCUUCCUUUAUUCUUGGUGUAAUAGAUUCGAUUCUAUUGCACGUGGAGUAACCCGAGUGUGUCAUCUUUUAUUUGGAGACGGAUCUCGAAGCUUAAGAUUUUGAAACCGUGCUGUCCACCACGUCGCCCACGUCCAGAAGCUGAGUAAAUACUUCACAUCUACAAUGUUCUUAAUGGCACCUUUCAAUAUAUGGAACUUCAGCCAUCCAAUCGUGCAGUCUGCAUCUCAUUCACCUUUGCUGUGAACAUCAAUAACAUGUACCCUAAUUGAAGGCAAGAAGGUUUAUAUUGACAGUGAUGUUGCUGUCCAGGGCAUGGUGUUGCAGCCAAUGGUGGUGAAAUAGUUUUUGCAUAAAGUUAAACUGGUUGCUCCUUGCUGCUGGUGUUGUGUUAGAAGUAACAUUCAGUAUUUUGUUUUAUUGUCAUAAGUUUCUAUGUAGUUUUACCGUUCAUACGAUAAGAAAGAACAAAAAAUUUAUACGGGGAAAUUUAUGUCAAACAAAUAAUAAACUUGUCUUCGUGAUUGGGAAAGCAAAGAGGGGGAAGUUGAGGGAGGGGUGAGAGUUUAUUUUAAUGAAUACUGAUGUGAUAUUUGGUGAUAAACCCUUUUAUUAUCCCAUAACCCUAUGUAAAUACCCUAUACAUCCAUUCACAAUCCCUAUGUCCAAUCUAUUAACUCCCAUAUUCAAUUAUACACCUAUUGAUCCUCAUAGCUAACCUAUCUACUCCCACAUACUAUAAACCCAAUAUUCCAUAAUAAUGUUAAAUAACUAUAUGUAUAACUGAAAAAAUUGACAAUA